rfam:Salmo salar isolate Sally breed double haploid chromosome ssa05, whole genome shotgun sequence.
UGAAGACCAAUUUGUAAGUCGCUCUGGAUAAGAGCGUCUGCUAAAUGACUUAAU